rnacentral:lncRNA from 1 species
GCUCGAAGACAGAGCCGAGCUUAUGAGCCCGGAUAGCCUGCAGAAAGUCAGCCAACGGCUGCGAUUAUUCCUUCACGGCACGAGAUUGAUCCUCGUGUUCACGCUCAUCGCCACUCAUAGUACCGCGGCGCACCUUAUCACUUCCCUCCUCCUUCCUCGAUCUACUGGCGGAACUCUGCACAUCGGAGUUUUCCUUCGUCGCCUCCUCUCUUCCGCCGUCUGACUCAACUAAAUCGGAGAGAGCUCUGCAAAGAAAAAAAAGAAAAAAAAAAGAAGAAGAAAGAGAAGAGAGAGAGAGAGUAAACGUGGGAGAGUGUGUGUGAAAAUGAGGAAUAAAAUUAAAACCCUAACCCAUAGGGGUAUUUUAGUCUUACCAUAUCUGAUAAGGGGGGUCUCACUAAUUUAAAUUGGGAUUUGGGUUAUGGAAAAAGUCUUUAAAGUCAAUUGGGUUUAAAUCAAAAUAUUUUC